UACGUAGGGGGCGAGCGUUGUCCGGAUUCAUUGGGCGUAAAGAGCUCGUAGGCGGCUUGGUUAGUUGGGUGUGAAACCUCCAGGCUUAACCUGGAGACGCCACUCAAUACUGCCAUGGCUAGAGUCCGGUAGGGGACCACGGAAUUCCUGGUGUAGCGGUGAAAUGCGCAGAUAUCAGGAGGAACACCGGUGGGGAAGGCGGUGGUCUGGGACGGCACUGACGCUGAGGAGC
rnacentral:rRNA from 1 species